AGGGGCCGGCGGCUUGGGCCGCCUCGGGGAGGGGAGGCAGCGCACCGGCCAUUUUCAGCUCGGGUGGAGCUAAGUUUGGUAUCUGUAACCUGGAGGUG
ensembl:misc_RNA